AGCGAACGCUGGCGGCAGGCCUAACACAUGCAAGUCGAACGAACUCUUCGGAGUUAGUGGCGGACGGGUGCGUAACACGUGGGAACGUGCCUUUUGGUUCGGAAUAACUCAGGGAAACUUGUGCUAAUACCGAAUGUGCCCUUCGGGGGAAAGAUUUAUCGCCAUUAGAGCGGCCCGCGUCUGAUUAGCUAGUUGGUGAGGUAACGGCUCACCAAGGCGACGAUCAGUAGCUGGUCUGAGAGGAUGACCAGCCACACUGGGACUGAGACACGGCCCAGACUACUACGGGAGGAAGCAGUGGGGAAUCUUGCGCAAUGGGCGAAAGCCUGACGCAGCCAUGACGCGUGAAUGAUGAAGGUCUUAGGAUUGUAAAAUUCUUUCACCGGGGACGAUAAUGACGGUACCCGGAGAAGAAGCCCCGGCUAACUUCGUG
rnacentral:rRNA from 1 species